UUGUACUCUGCCUCUGACUCUCUUCCAAGAACAAUUUGGCAAGUUCUAAUCUACAUCUUGCAAAAAAAAAACAAAAAACAAAAAACAGAGAGGUAGGAGGGCCACAGCACCUGGGGUCCCAGAAGGCAGACUGACCUAUUCCUACAGCAGGGAGACAAGGUCUCAUUCUGUUGCCCAGGCUGGAGUGCAGUGGUGCAAUCACGGUUCACUGCAACCUGGAACUCCAGGGUUCAAGCAAUCCUCCUGCCUCAGCCUGCCGAGUAGCUGUGACAACAGGUGCGAGCCACCAUGCCCAGCUAAGAUUUCACCAUGUUGCCCAGCUGGUCUUGAACUCCUGGCCUCAAGCAAUUCUCCUGCUUUAGGCUCCCAAGUUGCUGGAAUUACAGGCUGCCUCCUCUGAGCCUUCCCAGAUUCUCAGUCUGUGAUGAAAUAGACAGAACACCAAGCUACCAGGAAGGGCACCUGCCUCCUAGAUCGGAAUCUUCGUCCAUUCGCACUUAGGUGAUCACUUGCCUUCGAGAGCCCCAUCCAGAAGACGGGAGUAAUGAGCCCUGCUCUGCCCAUCACGGGCCGCUAUGAGGAUGCAAAAGCACUUAGGAAAGAAUUUAAAUGCUACACAGGCACACGAUAUUGUUACGCACAGUCAAAGCUGGUGCAUCGGGCACUUCAUCAUCCAGAAACCUCUUUUACCUUACAAUGUGAGAUAAACUUAUAUACCUUUC
rnacentral:lncRNA from 1 species